ACUGAACGCUGGCGGCAUGCUUUACACAUGCAAGUCGAACGGUAACAGGUCUUCGGAUGCUGACGAGUGGCGAACGGGUGAGUAAUACAUCGGAACGUGCCUAGUAGUGGGGGAUAACUACUCGAAAGAGUAGCUAAUACCGCAUGAGAUCUAAGGAUGAAAGCAGGGGACCUUCGGGCCUCGCGCUACUAGAGCGGCUG
rnacentral:rRNA from 1 species